UCCGGGCUGGGGCGAGGGGCGAGGGGCUCCGGACGCUGCGGGGACCACGCUCCGCACCGCUCCGCACCGCACCGGCGGCGGAGGAGGCAGGCUGGGCUGCAGCAGGGUCCGGGUCUGGGGGCCGCGUCCAGAGCCGCUUCCCGGACCCCGCUAUGGAUGAGGCCGAGUUUCCCCCUCCCUCUGCAGCCUCCUGACACCAGCCGGACCCCCGUGGUCCCUUCGCAGCCGCUGGAGCUGCCAGCCCCGCCUUCCCGACGGGGCUUUGAUAAGCGCAGCGCACUUGGUCACAGAACCCCGGACCGCUUUGGACUGGAAGGGACACACCAAGGAUCACCUCGUUCCAACCCCGCACCAGACCAGCCCUGCUUUGCCUUCUCCCCAUCCCGCGCUUCACCGCAGCCACGCAAAUCAGAGAGGUUGUGCGCCCGCAUGCAUUGCUGGAUGGGGAGGGAUAAAUAAAAAUUAAACCCACGGAAAUGCUGCGUGGAGGCUGGAAACGGGAGGAUGGAACUGGGGGGAUGCAGACGGGCGCGUUGUAAAGCGCGGACGCGUUAAAUAAAAGGCAGCGCGGA